GCUGGGGCGGGGCAAGACGGCCCCCACGAUGGACAGCCGUACCCACACCUCCCUCUGCCUCCUGACGCAGCCACUGGGUUGUCUGAAGUCUUCUCUCCCCCCAGGGGCCGGGCAGUGAGCACCCCAGACCCCACAUACCAUGGUGGGUGGCAUGGGGUGGAGCUUUAACCCCCCAGAUAUCUGCAGGGAGAUGAGUGGGGGGAGGACGCUGCCCCAGGUGCCUGGAAGGACUGUCCUGAAUGUUUCCUGGGGAAGAGGAAUGAAGGCCCCCAGCCUCAUCCUCCAUCUACCUCUGCCCAGCUCAGAUCCAACUCCUGACCGGGGUUUGCCCCAGUGACCUGUGGGCCUGGGAGGGUCUCAGUCUCCCUAGCUGCAGGGGUGAAUGGGCGCCCCACUCAGUGCCCCUCCCUCCUGGCCACCUUGUCCACUAGGGCCAAUCGAUUGCUCCUGGGCCUCUCAGCCUCCAUUUCUGGAUCGAUGGAGUGGGCAGCCCUGGGAGACCAGGACAGGGUUCCCUUGUCUCUGGCCUCAGAGGCCCCUGCCUGCUGCAGCACAGAGCAGGUGGGGCUAUCAGGGCAGAGGGAACCGUCCAUCUGCCAAGGCUCAGGGAGAGGCCCAGAGGCCUGGCACCUCCUAGAUACCCCAGGGAAGCUCCCGUCCCAGGGAGACUGAGGAGGAGGGUCUCCUGCGACCCCCCCUGUUCCUGCUGCCACACCAGCCUGGCUGCCACCACUGGAAUUCCAGCUUAUGACACCUUAGGUGAUCUGUGGCUCCUUGAGGUCUCCGGGGCUGUGAACUCAGUUCACAGUGGUCCAUAGUGACCACCUGGCCACCUGCAGCCUGAACGGGGUCCCCAACACCAUGGUCUUGCCUCAUGGCCUAAAGUCCCCCUGAUUUGGGGCCAGAGACCACUGCUGUGAUGUCCAGAUGGAAGGGAGACCCAGCACUAUCUGCACACAGUAAGUGCUCAUUAAAUGCUUGUUGGGAACACUGAUCUUGAC
rnacentral:lncRNA from 1 species